AUUGAACGCUGGCGGCAGGCCUAACACAUGCAAGUCGAGCGAGCGGCGGACGGGUGAGUAAUAUAUGGGGACUGCCCGUUAGAGUGGGAUAACUACUUGAAACGGUAGCUAAUACCCCAUACUAUCGGAUAACCCAUAUGGGAUUAGCUAGUAGGUGUGGUAAUGGCUCACCUAGGCGACGAUCCCUCGCUGGUCUGGGAGGAUGAUCAGGCACACUGGGACGGAGACAAGGCCCAGACUCCAAGGGAGGCAGCAGUGGGGAAUAUGGGAGAAUGGGCGCAAGCCGGAUGCAGCCAUGCCGCGUGUAUGAAGAAGGCCAUAGGGUCGUAAAGUACGUUCAGUCGGGAGGCGUUACCGGCAGAAGAAGCACCGGCUAACUCCGUGCCAGCAGCCGCGGUAAUAC
rnacentral:rRNA from 1 species